GCGGGACGCGCUGGCGGCGGGGACGGGGGCCCUGCCCCGCGUGGCGGGACGUGGCGUGUCCCCCGCGGGGCGGAGCCGUUCGCGGCGGCACCGGCCGCUGCUCCGUCGCACCGGGCCCGCCCGCGCCGCGCCCUGAGGGGCCGCCGGGCGGGGAGCGCGGCCGCAGCCUCCCCGCUGCCUCGGUCGUCGUUGUCGCCGUGACCCCGCGCCGGGGCUCCCUGCGGCGGAGGGCUCCUCCCGCGGGCAGGGCGCCGGGGGUCGCUCGUUUGACCGGGGGGCGUCGGGGACAAAGCCUGAGUCGUGACCCCGCAAAUUUCAGGGGGAAAACGUGUGGUUCCUGCUGGGGAGGAGCGCUGAGAUCUCCUCUGCGGCUGUGUGGGGUGCAGGAACCACCCGGCUCUGCCCCAGUGGAAGAGGAGUGGUAUCUGGCUCCCUGUUGCCCCAGUUACAACACCCAGGGUAGUACUUUGCGGGCCAACAACUUGGAGAUGCGGCUUGACCUGAUCGGUUAAUUUUAGUGAUAUUUUAAAGAAGCGUGAAAGUAUAGAAGGAGCAUAGGAGCAUGAGGAAGAAAGGAAAAAGCAAGGAAGGUUUGAAACAGAGGAAGAGCUAAGUUCCAUGACUAUUGAAGCUGGUUGAGUUGGAGAGAAUCUGGGGUUAUGCUGGGUCUUGGCCUCAUCGGUGAAGAAGCUGUGUGCUAGGCAGAUGGUGGGUGAGUGUAGCUGGAGUGUGGCGAGGGGUGGGCUGGGCUGUCUGGUCUGGGGCACACAGGGAGGCAGGGGAAAGACAGGGCGAUCUGAAGGAAUGUAGGGUGCAGGCUUUUCCUCUCCAAUGGCUUCUCAGGCACACAAGGUCACUAACCAGGUGCCCCAUGGCUCCUCCCGGAACUCUGACAGCCACAUGAAGCACCCAAGGCACUGGCUUUUGCACAGAAAUGGCACUGCUCUGGAACAGGACUGCCACCUUGACAUGCUGCCAGCAAAAGCCCCCUGCCCAAAGGCUCUGCAGACAUCUGUCAAACCAGUCCCCAAUUCCCCAGCAGCUGCUAAACCUUGCCCCAAAUGCACCAUUGACCCUCAAAGUCCCAGGACUUCAAAACACCCCCAGGCUUGGACCAAAAGCCCCCAACCCCCAACCCUGCCCCAAGACCACAAUGAUUCCAACACUGCUCUGAACCCCACCUCAGAACCCCAAUGCCCCCAAACCCACCCCCCCAAACAAUGCCUUGAUGCCACCCCCAAAGGUGGCAGGCUCCCCUGCAGUCCUGGAUGUCUCUUCCCUCCCUCCGCUGGCAAACCCUGACCUCCUGGUGCCCAGGGGAGAAUUUUGUGCCCCACGUCCCCCACCGCAGGGGAACAGGAGAGAUGGCCCAAUGCUGCUGGGAUGCAGACAUAGACUGCCGGAAACCCCGCAGGGGACAGAUGCUCCUGAGGCACCGUCUCCUGCGCUCCCUGUUCCCAUCCGAGGAAGAUAAAUACAAGCUAGCCCUUGGCUGCGCUUUAUUCUCAGUUAAUACAGAGGUCAUUAGAUUAAUUAAGGGACACAGUGAGGACCCAGACAGGCCGCCACCCCAAGCCUGGGGUCCCUGAGACUCUCUCGUUCUCUUGGUGGAGCUGUUCUGGAGGCCUGCGGUGGGCUGCUUGUGGGUUUGCAUGAUGCUGUGGUCUUUCUGGGACUUUGUCAAAGGCUCUGGGAUGUUUGGGAUGGCCGGUGGGGCUUUCCCUCCUCACCUAUGGGCUCUGGUUAUGGAGGGGGGGACGGGGACACAUUUGGUGGUCUGCAGGGCUGUCCCCAUCAUGUUACUACCAUAUUUGGAGUGGUGCAGGGGUCUUCUCAGGUCUCUGCAUCUUCGGGGAAUGGGUCGUAGCAAUAUCGUGGCAUCCCUUUCCUGUUUUUUGGGAGGUAGUUUGGCCAUGCCCAGAGCUCUUCCCCUCUUUUGGGAGAAUUAUAUUAGGGUGUUCGGCUCUCUUCCCCCAGUUUCAUUUGAUCUCUGUGUACCCUGUUUAGUAUGCCCUUCAAACAAAUUUUAAAUACGGAGGAGCUCUCCUCCAGACGGGUGGAAGGAAGGACAGGGCUAUGAUACAAAGUCAUAAACAACCGUGGUGGCAGGGCCUGGGCACUGCGCUCUCGUUGGGGGUUAAGGGCACAGCUUAACUUUUUGCUAUAGGGAUGCAAUCAGUGAUAGGAAGUGCAAAUGGAUAACAGGGAGAAGACUGGUGAACAGGUUUUUAUGAAUAACACCUAUCAAAUUGGAUGAAACAGGGAAGCAAAAAUGCGGUUCAGGCCCUGGUGUGUCCCUAAAAAUGCAGGGCUCCUGAUAUCACCAGAAACAGCUAAAGAAGGAGGCGUUUCUGUGUGGAUAGGUAAGAUUAUCAAUAAAAAAUGUUAUUUCUGUCUCUCAGGGCAGCUCUAAGGACUAAAUAAUCCAUUCCUACCCUGUGAAUAUUGUUAAUUGUGGCUGGAUUAGCUUUGCUUUGGUAGUUUCAUAUUUUGUUACCAGGUAUGCAUAUGUGAAAAGAAAAAGAUGUAAUACCUACUUUUUAGAUUCAUUAUGGUGGCUGAAGUUGAUUACAGCCUGCCUUAUGGCCCCUUUGGGGUGCACCAAGGCUCUGCAUGUGCUCCAGAGCCCCCCAAGGCCUGCAGUUCACAUUUCGAGUUGCCCCCAAACCUUCUGUGGGCCUUUCUGUGUAUCCCUGCGCCCUAUGUUUGUCUUGCAGCGUGCCACGAAGUUUUCAGUUUACCUUUCUUCCCCACCCUGGGGUUUUCUGAGUACUUUCUGGUGUGCUCCAGGAUCGUAUUUUCCUUCCUUUAUGCACCAAGGCCUUCCCUUUGCUCUUCUGUGCUCCCAGAAUCUUUUGUUUGCCCUAUCACCCCCUGAUGUUUUUCUUUUUCCCCCCUUUCAUUGCACUCCAAAGCUCUCCAUUUGUUCCCUUAAUACUAAUCCUUAUUCCUUUUCAUGCACCGCAGCUCUCUUCCCUUUAGCUUUCAGCAAGCUGCCCUCUGCAGCUGGACACCUCUGCUGCUCUGGCAGCCCCAGCUGUUCCUUGGGGUUGAUUAUGAUGGCCCCGUGUCCCUGUGGGCUGCAGCUGCGGGGCAGGGAUGGGGGAGCGGCAAGCCACCGGUGUGACAGCAAUGCCCUCCAGCGUCCAGCGGGUCGCAGCCUGUAGGUAAGUAGGUGGGAAUAACUGCAAUGCCCGAGGUGGCUGCUCUUGUGCAGAAAGUAUAAAGUUUAACAACCAUAUGAAUUUUAACAAGGGUAAGUGCUGGAUUUUGCACCUGGGGCACGACAACCCUGGCUGUACGGACAGGCUGGGGAAUGAGAGACUGGGGAGCAGCUCUGCAGAGGGACCAGGGGGUUCUGGUCAACGGCAAGUUGAACGUGAGCCAGCAGCGUGCCCUGGCAGCCCCGAGGGCCAGCCGUGCCCUGGGGGGCACCGAGCCCUGCAUCGCAGCCGGGCGAGGGGGGGGAUUGUCCCGCUCUGCCCCGCGCUGGGGCGGCCUCACCUCGAGUGCUGUGGGCAGGGUUGGGCGCCGCAGGACAUUGGGGGUAUAAAGCUAUGGGAGAGGGUCCAGAAAAGGGCCAUGGAGUUGGUGAAGGGUU